AGGAAAUACAAAAUUUAGUGUUAAAUCUUUUGAACAGUCAUAAGUUUGCUGUCUGUGCACUGAUUUAAAUAAUUUGUGCAAUUAGAAUAUAGAACUUGUUUUGUGUAGUACUCAAAACAUAUGCAACAUCGUUUAAAAAUUGAAAUACACAGCUCAAUCACGAAAAGAAGUGUAUAGUGCAUAAUAAGCAACAAAAUUCUUUCGUACAUUUUGAUAUUUCGAAUAGAUAUUUUAAUAUAUAAACUAAAAUUACAAAAUGUCUGAAGUCACUGAUAUUGUUGAAGGCUCCAUUCCUGAAGAGCAGGACGUAUCCAAUAAUAUUACUUAUCCAGAGAAAACCGAGGAGUUGCUUAAAGAGGAGGUUGUAGGCGAAACUGAAAAAAUGGUUACUGAGACUGUCGACGAGGAUGGUGAUGUCGUGGAAGAGACCACUGAAGUAACUCGUAAAACUGUAAAGCGUACCAUGAAAAUUACAGAGACUUCGUCGACUACAAAAACCACUACUAUGACAACGCCGGCGAAGCUUUAUGGCAAAGAUUUAAGUGAAUAUGAUGAAGUGGACGUUGAUGCUUUAUUGGCACAAUUAUCACCUGAAGAAAUAAAUAUAUUAGCUAAGGAAGUAGAUCCCGAUGACAAUUUUUUGCCGCCUGAUCAACGUUGCAGUUAUGAAUGUGUUAAAAGUCCUACCGGACCUUUGGAUCGUAAGAAGCUAAUUGAACAUAUUAACAAGGAGGCUGUGGAAACUCCUGAUCAACCAGAAUUUGAACCAUAUAUUAAAGGUACAGUUCGGGGCAAGAAAUGGGUCCCACCACCUAGAGAUGAACGCGAAAUUGAAGCCGAAGAACAAAUUGCUAUUGAUUUAGGUGAUGAGUAUGAACAGGCUUUGACAGAUGCCACGCAAGAAGAAAUAAUAGACUUAGCAGCAAUACUUGGUUUUCAUUCUAUGAUGAACCAAGAUCAGUAUCAUGCUUCCUUAUUAAAUAAAGGUCAACCUGUUGGUUUAGGAUGGGAUGGUAUAACCAAAUCAACACAGCAAAAAUUAUAUCCUAUGGAUCCACCUAACGAUACUGAUAUUGAUGAAUCAAUAAAACGCGUCAAAAAUGAUGACGUGAAACUGAUCGAAUUAAACUUAAAUAAUAUUAAAAAUAUUUCUGAUGAAAAAUUUGAGCAACUUUUUGUAGCACUGCCCCAGAAUGAACAUUUAGAAGUUCUUUCGUUAACUAAUGUUGGCCUUACUGAUAAAACAGCUCUUCUUCUAGCAGAAGCAAUUGAAAAAAGCAAAACCUUAAGAGUAUUAAAUGUUGAAACAAAUUUCAUUAGCCCGCCCGUGAUUGUAACUCUAGUAAAAGCUUUGCUUAAAUGUCGUACCAUUGAAGAGUUUAGAGCUUCAAAUCAACGAUCAUCAGUGCUUGGUAACAAAAUUGAAAUGGAAAUUACCGAUUUAGUGGAGCAGAAUACAUCACUACUCAGGCUAGGGUUGCACUUGGAAUUUAAUGAUGCUCGUCAUAGAGUUGCUGCACAUCUACAACGUAACAUUGAUAGAAUUGUACGCGUACAAAAAAUGAAACCGAGCUUACCAAAAUUAAUUUUACCUCCGGCGAAUAUGGAAAUAGAAUACCCGGAGCCCCUUUCGUUAACUCCAUCACCUACACCAUCCCCUCAGCCUCAGAACGACUAUGACGUAGAGGUGGACCCUGACAAUGUGGUUAUUCGUGGUGGCGCAAAUAAUUUUGAUCCAGAAAUUGAUCCUGAUAAUACCAUAAUUCCUGGCAGUCGUGCCGUUACACCAAUAGAUGAUAAUGAUAACAUUGAGCAAACUGCAACUCUUAAUGAAGAUAUCUCCAGUUUUAAAGCACAUACGACAAAUAUCCAUCUGAAUGUAAAUUAGUUUAUAAAACAUAAAAAUAUAAAACUUUAUAUAUGCAAAAAUUUAAGAACUAAUUAAUUCAACAUUAUACAAUAAGUUAUAAGUAUAUACAAUUGAGACUAUAAAACAAAUCAGAUAAAAUAAAUUGCGUAUACAUAAAAACUAAUAGAAGAACUAUUAAGAACAGCGCUUGGAAAUUUUAAGCACACAAAUAAAUCAUCGCAAGGACCUCUACAUUCUAACCUAUAUACAUGUAUAUAUAUGUAUAUGUGCGUGUGCGUGUGUGUGUGUAUACAUAAAAUACGUGUCAACCGCCUCAACCAGCGUAAAUAAAUGUGUACCGAAAAACCUGAGAUCCCGAACAACACCUGUAUUGCCACCACUAAAUAUAUUUAAUUCUAAAAAUACAAUAACGAUCAAUAGAAACAAAUUCAAAUUAAGUAAGAGUCAAUUUGCAGCUUUAGGAAAUUUUGAAAUUGAUUAGUACAAACGAUUUUGUCAAUACAAACUACAGACCACGAGAAAGAAAGUCCCAUUGUUGUUUGAAAAAUCAGAAAUAGGCGGGCGUCAACGUCGCGUGGGUCACUUUGGAAGAAAUUACACCGUGGGAGUUUGGCAAUAUAAAUCCUUUGAAGAUUGAUUUGAGUAGCAGCACUCGUCAUAUUUAAACUCUGCAAAUCUGCAAAUCGCACUUUAUAUUAUAUUUAAAGUAAAAAUCAGGGACCGAAAAUAACAGUUAUUUUAAAAUUUUUUAUGAAAAAAA